GAUAAACGCUGGCGGCGCACAUAAGACAUGCAAGUCGAACGGACUUAACCAUUAGUUUACUAUUGGAGCGGUUAGUGGCGGACUGGUGAGUAACGCGUAAGCAAUCUGCCUAUCAGAGGGGAAUAACAGUGAGAAAUCACUGCUAAUACCGCAUAAGCUGUGAGUAUCGCAUGAUACAAAUAGAAAGGAGCAAUCCGCUGAUAGAUGAGCUUGCGUCUGAUUAGUUAGUUGGUGAGGUAACGGCCCACCAAGACGAUGAUCAGUAGCCGGACUGAGAGGUUGAACGGCCACAUUGGGACUGAGAUACGGCCCAG
rnacentral:rRNA from 1 species